AUCAGCAAAUGAAGUGGUAAUUGUUUCUCUCUCAGGAUUCGGAAUGCUACCGAGGCAUGAGUAAUGGCUCGGAAUCUCCUACUUGGUAUUCAGGAAAUGAGCUAACUCAUGUGCAGAUGGGAAGCCUCAGUCACAGGCUUGCUCUUAUGAAGAAUCACCGUUUGGCUUUCUUUACCAAUGCCACUCCAUACUCCUCUGAAAUGGACCUCAGUGAAUAAAUAGAUGGCCAGUACAAUCACUUCUGGCUCUUCUCUAGAGCCCUUUGAGAACAAGUUCUUCUAGGAAUACAAACGGUCUAAUGAUGCCAUUCAGCUGCAAGACCGACAAGAAUCUACAGGAUCAUCAUCAUUACCAAUAGAACUCACAGUAAAUGUAGAAAAACUCAACAAUGUGACUUGAGUAAAGGAAUCACUUGGGACUCCGGGAAGAAUAUUUUAAGCCAAACAAACAUUCCCCAAAGUUUCUGCAAACUGUCAUGACAUAGCAAACUUUUUAGAUGUGGAAAGGGAGAAUAAGAUAUUCCUGAGUUCGACUUAGUAAGUUCCCAUAGGGCAGUGUGACACAUCAGUACCGCUGCCCCUAAGUCUCUUUCCAAAUUGUAUCUUUUCCAUGGCAAAUUUCCCUUAGAAAUUUUCAGUUAAAAUGUGUAAAAACAACGUGAAGAAACACUAAACACAUCAUAAAUUCUUGUGAUGUAAAUGAGAGCCUGAAAGGACAGCGACAAAGUUUUCUCAUGGGGCUUUGCAUUGUAUUUUGUCUGUUUCAGUGAAACCAUUCUCAAUGUGAAAAUGACAGCAAAUGUAUGUAAUGUAGUGUUUAAAGGCUAAUGCCAGGUCAACUAAGGACAUGUAUGUAGUAAACAAAGAAAUAAAAGUCCUUCAGUCCAUCAGUUCGUAAGGUUACCAUCCACAG